GACGAACGCUGGCGGCGCGCCUAACACAUGCAAGUCGAACGAGCGAGAGGAGGUUUACUUUCUCAAGCGAGUGGCGAACGGGUGAGUAACGCGUGAGGAACCUGCCUCAAAGAGGGGGACAACAGUUGGAAACGACUGCUAAUACCGCAUAAGCCCACGACCCGGCAUCGGGUAGAGGGAAAAGGAGCAAUCCGCUUUGAGAUGGCCUCGCGUCCGAUUAGCUAGUUGGUGAGGUAAUGGCCCACCAAGGCGACGAUCGGUAGCCGGACUGAGAGGUUGAACGGCCACAUUGGGACUGAGACACGGCCCAGACUCCUACGGGAGGCAGCAGUGGGGAAUAUUGCACAAUGGGGGAAACCCUGAUGCAGCGACGCCGCGUGGAGGAAGAAGGUCUUCGGAUUGUAAACUCCUGUUGUUGAGGAAGAUAAGGACGGUACUCAACAAGGAAGUGACGGCUAACUACGU
rnacentral:rRNA from 1 species